rnacentral:rRNA from 1 species
AUUGAACGCUGGCGGCAUGCUUUACACAUGCAAGUCGAACGGUAACAGGCCGCAAGGUGCUGACGAGUGGCGAACGGGUGAGUAAUGUAUCGGAACGUGCCCAGUCGUGGGGGAUAACUACUCGAAAGAGUAGCUAAUACCCCAUACGAUCUAUGGAUGAAAGCGGGGGACCGUAAGGCCUCGCGCGAUUUGAGCGGCCGAUGUGAGAUUAGGUAGUUGGUGGGGUAAAGGCUCACCAAGCCAACGAUCUGUAGCUGGUCUGAGAGGACGACCAGCCACACUGGGACUGAGACACGGCCCAGACUCCUACGGGAGGCAGCAGUGGGGAAUUUUGGACAAUGGGCGCAAGCCUGAUCCAGCAAUGCCGCGUGCAGGAAGAAGGCCUUCGGGUUGUAAACUGCUUUUGUACGGAACGAAACGGCUCUGGUUAAUACCCGGGGCUAAUGACGGUACCGUAAGAAUAAGCACCGGCUAACUACGUG